UACGUAGGGUGCGAGCGUUGUCCGGAAUUACUGGGCGUAAAGAGCUCGUAGGCGGUUUGUCGCGUCUGCCGUGAAAGUCCGGGGCUCAACUCCGGAUCUGCGGUGGGUACGGGCAGACUAGAGUGCAGUAGGGGAGACUGGAAUUCCUGGUGUAGCAGUGAAAUGCGUAGAUAUCAGGAGGAACACCGAUGGCGAAGGCAGGUCUCUGGGCUGACACUGACGCUCAUGCACGAAAGCGUGGGGAGCAAACAGG
rnacentral:rRNA from 1 species